UAUAGCUUAACUCUUAAAGCACCCCGCUUACACCGGGCACAUCUCUGUGAAAUUCAGAUUAUUGUGAGCCAACCCCCCAGCCCUAACCCACCACAUGUUAACCCUUUAACCCUAUUCACCAACUAAAGCAUUCUAACGACUUAGUAAAGGAGAUUGAAAAACUUUUAGGAGCUACAAAAAGAGUACCGCAAGGGAAAGAUGAAAUAAAAAUGAAAUAAAUUUUAAGCAGUAAACAGUAAAGAAAACCCCUUGUACCUUUUGCAUCAUGGUUUAACUAGUCAAAUCAAGCAAAAAGACCUUCAGUUUGACCCCCCGAAACUAAACGAGCUACUUUGAGGCAGCUUACUGAGCCAACCCGUCUCUGUUGUAAAAGAGUGGGAAGACCUCUAAGUAGUGGUGACAAACCUACCGAGUUUAGUGAUAGCUGGUUGCUUAAGAAAAGGACUUAAGUCCACACUAAAUUGACUUUCAUACAGAAAAACCUUAUCUUCAAUUUAGACUCAUUCAAGUAAGGUACAGCCUGCUUGAAAAAGGACACAACCUCCCCAUAUGGGUAAUUAAUACGACUUAUACAACUAAGUAGGCCUAAAAGCAGCCACCUUAAUUAACAGCGUCACAGCUUAAUUGUAAACAAGCUUAAUCACAUUUUUUUCACAAAACCCUACCCCCCUAUUAAGCAAUUCCAUAUACUAUGGAAAAUCUUAUGUCAAAACUAGUAACUAGAAGCCACACUUCUCUCUAAUGCAAACCCACAUCAGACUGGACCAACCACUGAUAAAUAACACCUCUAACCCUAAAGUAGAAACUAAACAAGAAAACCCUACUCCACCUAGUGUUAACCUAAUACGAGAGCAUUUCAAGAAAGAUUAAAAGAAAAAGAAGGAACUCGGCAAACAUUGACCCCGCCUGUUUACCAAAAACAUCGCCUCUUGCCCAUAUAAGAGGUCCAGCCUGCCCAGUGACAUUGUUCAACGGCCGCGGUAUCCUAACCGUGCGAAGGUAGCGUAAUCACUUGUUCUUUAAAUAAGGACUAGUAUGAAAGGCACCACGAGAGUCAUACUGUCUCCUUUCCCUAAUCAGUGAAACUAAUCUCCCCGUGAAGAAGCGGGGAUAAAAAUAUAAGACGAGAAGACCCUAUGGAGCUUUAAACAAAUAACAAUUGCCCAUUAUUUCCUAAUUUCAAAAAAAUUUUCUACCCUGGCAUCAUGAUUAUUAGUUUUCGGUUGGGGUGACCACGGAACAAAAACCAACCUCCGCAAUGAAAGCACCCACUCGCUUAAUUAAGGACUACAACCCUACACAUCAAUAAAUUGACACUAAUUGACCCAACACGUUGAUCAAUGAACCAAGUUACCCUAGGGAUAACAGCGCAAUCCACUUCAAGAGCCCCUAUCGACAAGUGGGUUUACGACCUCGAUGUUGGAUCAGGGUAUCCAAGUGGUGCAGCCGCUACUAAAGGUUCGUUUGUUCAACGAUUAAAACCCU
rnacentral:rRNA from 1 species